AACGAACGCUGGCGGCAUGCCUAACACAUGCAAGUCGAACGAGACCUUCGGGUCUAGUGGCGCACGGGUGCGUAACGCGUGGGAACCUGCCCUUAGGUUCGGAAUAACUCCCCGAAAGGGGUGCUAAUACCGGAUAAUGUCUUCGGACCAAAGAUUUAUCGCCUUUGGAUGGGCCCGCGUUGGAUUAGCUAGUUGGUAGGGUAAAAGCCUACCAAGGCGACGAUCCAUAGCUGGUCUGAGAGGAUGAUCAGCCACACUGGGACUGAGACACGGCCCAGACUCCUACGGGAGGCAGCAGUGGGGAAUAUUGGACAAUGGGCGAAAGCCUGAUCCAGCAGUGCCGCGUGAGCGAUGAAGGCCUUAGGGUUGUAAAGCUCUUUUACCCGGGAUGAUAAUGACAGUACCGGGAGAAUAAGCUCCGGCUAACUCCGUG
rnacentral:rRNA from 1 species